rnacentral:lncRNA from 1 species
ACACACCAAUCCUUCCAAUACACUUAGUAUUUAGUAUCACAAAGAAAGAAUCACUCAGAUUUCAGAUCCAAUCAGAGAUUGGAUGGUCACGAAGAAGGAAGGGUUUUGAAGGAUCUCGAAAGCACAGCCGCAGCUGAAGAGAGAAGUGAAAGUGACGGUUCCAAUCAAUUAGGGCAAAAAGAUGGAAGUAUAUAUAUUCAACCAAGGCAACCGUAGAUCAAAGAUAAUUCCAACGGUCAGAG